GAUGAACGCUGGCGGCGUGCUUAACACAUGCAAGUCGAACGGAAAGGCCUCUGCUUGCAGGGGUACUCGAGUGGCGAACGGGUGAGUAACACGUGGGUGAUCUGCCCUGCACUUCGGGAUAAGCCUGGGAAACUGGGUCUAAUACCGGAUAGGACAAUGGUUUGGAUGCUGUUGUGGAAAGUUUUUCGGUGUGGGAUGAGCUCGCGGCCUAUCAGCUUGUUGGUGGGGUAAUGGCCUACCAAGGCGUCGACGGGUAGCCGGCCUGAGAGGGUGUACGGCCACAUUGGGACUGAGAUACGGCCCAGACUCCUACGGGAGGCAGCAAUGGGGAAUAUUGCACAAUGGGCGCGAGCCUGAUGCAGCGACGCCGCGUGGGGGAUGACGGCCUUCGGGUUGUAAACUCCUGUCGCUAGGGACGAAGCGUUUUUGUGACGGUACCUGGAGAAGAAGCACCGGCUAACUACGUG
rnacentral:rRNA from 1 species